UGUAGCUGAACGAAAGGUU
rnacentral:siRNA from 1 species